UAAAUGGGUGGUAAAUUUCAUCUAAAGCUAAAUACCUGCCAGAGACCGAUAGCGCACAAGUAGAGUGAUCGAAAGAUGAAAAGCACUUUGAAAAGAGAGUCAAACAGUACGUGAAAUUGUUGAAAGGGAAGCGCUUGAAAUCAGACUCGUUUGCGGAAGCUCAGCCUUCCUCCGGGUUGGUGUAUUCUUCUGUCAACGGGCCAGCUUUAGUUUAAACGGCUGGAUAAAGGUUUUGGGAAUGUAGCUCUUUUCGUUAAAUGUUAUAGCCUGGAACGUAAUGCAGUAGUCGAGACUGAGGUCCGCGCUUUUCCUAGGAUGCCGGGCCGAAAAG
rnacentral:rRNA from 1 species